rnacentral:rRNA from 1 species
UCCAGACUCCUACGGGAGGCAGCAGUGGGGGAUAUUGCACAAUGGGGGGAACCCUGAUGCAGCGACGCCGCGUGGGUGAAGGAGCGUUUCGGCGCGUAAAGCCCUAUCGACAGGGAAGAAGGAGGACGGUACCUGACUAAGAAGCCCCGGCUAACUACGUGCCAGCAGCCGCGGUAAUACGUAGGGGGCAAGCGUUAUCCGGAUUUACUGGGUGUAAAGGGGGCGCAGACGGCAGCGCAAGCCAGGAGUGAAAGCCCGGGGCCCAACCCCGGGACUGCUCUUGGAACUGCGCGGCUGGAGUGCAGGAGGGGCAGGCGGAAUUCCUGGUGUAGCGGUGAAAUGCGUAGAUAUCAGGAGGAACACCGGUGGCGAAGGCGGCCUGCUGGACUGCGACUGACGUUGAGGCCCGAAAGCGUGGGGAGCAAACAGGAUUAGAUACCCCUGUAAC